UGUGGGGGGAUUAGUGGCGAACGGGUGAGUAACACGUGAGUAACCUGCCCUUAACUCUGGGAUAAGCCUGGGAAACUGGGUCUAAUACCGGAUAUGACUCCUCAUCGCAUGGUGGGGGGUGGAAAGCUUUAUUGUGGUUUUGGAUGGACUCGCGGCCUAUCAGCUUGUUGGUGAGGUAAUGGCUCACCAAGGCGACGACGGGUAGCCGGCCUGAGAGGGUGACCGGCCACACUGGGACUGAGACACGGCCCAGACUCCUACGGGAGGCAGCAGUGGGGAAUAUUGCACAAUGGGCGAAAGCCUGAUGCAGCGACGCCGCGUGAGGGAUGACGGCCUUCGGGUUGUAAACCUCUUUCAGUAGGGAAGAAGCGAAAGUGACGGUACCUGCAGAAGAAGCGCCGGCUAACUACGUGCCAGCAGCCGCGGUAAUACGUAGGGCGCAAGCGUUAUCCGGAAUUAUUGGGCGUAAAGAGCUCGUAGGCGGUUUGUCGCGUCUGCCGUGAAAGUCCGGGGCUCAACUCCGGAUCUGCGGUGGGUACGGGCAGACUAGAGUGAUGUAGGGGAGACUGGAAUUCCUGGUGUAGCGGUGAAAUGCGCAGAUAUCAGGAGGAACACCGAUGGCGAAGGCAGGUCUCU
rnacentral:rRNA from 1 species